UGCGUUUGGGGGGCCUUUUUUGCUCCCCUGCUUAUAAGCACCUCGACAUCUUGCGUUUGGUAAACUAGCUUCUUCCCUACUUUUUCCAGAAGCCAGAGCUUUUUUGAUGGAAAAGCCAAAGCCGGUAAUACCUUGCUUUUAAAAGCAGGGGCUGGCUUUUAUCACUGUAGCGGUGAUUACUGUAGUUUAAUGAACUUUCAGAAAUACCGAUUUCUAUCCUCCCCUUGUUUCAGUAAUUACACAAUCCUUCUCUUCUGUGUUCACAUCUCUCCGGUUUCGGAAAUACCACUUCAUGACUGGUUUGAUCUCUCUCUCUCUCUGACUGCUUUCAUCUGGCCUCUCAUCCGUGUUCGAAAUCAAAGCCUCAAUCCUUGAUUGCUGGCUGCUUGGCAAUUUGAUUCAUGGUUGAUUUGGAAAAAUGGAACCAAAUGGAGCAGUUUUCUUCCAGUAGCUUCAAUUUCUUCUUCCUCUUCCUCCCUUUGUUCACUCAAUUCAAACAUGGCUGACUCUCCUAGACGGGUUUCAAAUCAAAAAUGGCUUCAAACUCAAAGCGUCUCAAAUUAUGCUCACAUAAUGAAGACAGGAUCAGUGGGUUGCCAGAUGCAAUUCUUUGCCACAUUCUCUCUUUCUUUUCAAUCAGACAGGCUGUAAAGACUAGCAUUUUAUCACAUAAAUGGAGGAAUGUCUGGGCUUAAGUUCCCAAUCUAGAUUUCAAUGAAUAUGAUUAUUACAUGGCUAUGUUUUCCGUACUUUGCCACAACCAGUAAGAUAUGAGUCGGAUUGGUUUGCACAGUUUGUGAAUCGUGUCUUACUGUGUUUUGAGAUGAUUAUUACACAUGAUUAUUGGUUUGCACAUGAUUAUUACAUGGCUCCUUUCUUACUGUUUUUUGAGAUUCCGAGAUGUCCUUUCUUACAUUGGUUAGUUUGAAGUUGUUUCUGCAGAAAAAUAUUAAUUCCGUUACUCCUCCCUCACAUUGUUUCCCCUGUCUCAAGUUGCUACAUGUUACAUUUUGGUUUCCUUAUCCUCACACAGUGGAGAAGAUGUUUUCUUCUUUCCCUGUACUUGAAGAUCUUAUUAUAGAUGGAGAAGAUUCAGAUGCAUCAGCUUUCAACUUGUUAUAUCUGCACCCAAAUUUGGAACAUCUCAAGAUAUUACCAAAAAGGGAAUGCCUGUGUCAAUCAAUAACUCAAGCACUAUAUGGUGUUUUGUCAGUGUAGAAGAUAUACUUACUGCAUUGCUGGUUCACUCUCAGAUAAGUGGCAAAGUGACUCAACAUCAAAUGUACGUUUUGGAGCUGUUUUAGAGAAGUAAUAUAGAGUAGUUUUAUUUUAUCAUUAUUAUUUUUAUUCUAUUAAGAUUUGUAUCACAGUACACAAGUUAGGAAACUUGUUGGCAGAUACAAUGCAGUAUGUGUAAUUUUAUGAACGCCACAAUGUAUUUUGAUUGUUUUGAAAUUAUUAAUGAAAAUUAUGACUUAUCAAAUA